AGAGUUUGAUCAUGGCUCAGGACGAACGCUAGCUACAGGCUUAACACAUGCAAGUCGAGGGGAAACGACAUCGAAAGCUUGCUUUUGAUGGGCGUCGACCGGCGCACGGGUGAGUAACGCGUAUCCAACCUGCCCACCACUUGGGGAUAACCUUGCGAAAGUAAGACUAAUACCCAAUGACGUCUCUAGAAGACAUCUGAAAGAGAUUAAAGAUUUAUCGGUGAUGGAUGGGGAUGCGUCUGAUUAGCUUGUUGGCGGGGUAACGCCACAAGGCGACGAUCAGUAGGGGUUCUGAGAGGAACGGUCCCCCANAUUGGAACUGAGACACGGUCCAAACUCCGUACGGGAGCA
rnacentral:rRNA from 1 species